AUCCUUUUUGUUUCCUUUUGGCGAAUAAAGUCUACAAUACAAAAUAAAUCUGUUCUUAAUAUCUGAUACGUCCUCUACCCGAGGACCAUAUAUUAAUCUGAUUUUUGAAACAGGGAGACGGAAGAGGGGCUUGCUCCGUCCGCUCUACGCAUCAACCCGGUAUUGCAGUGACUCCAGGAACGGUGCACAUCUC